rnacentral:rRNA from 1 species
CUAGUGGCGACGGGUGAAGUAACACGUUGGAACCUGCCCCAAAGUGAGGAAUAAGCCACCGAAAGGUGGUCUAAUACUUCAUAAUAUCCAUCUCGUAUGGAUUAAAGCUUUAUGCGCUUUGGAGGGGCCUGCGUAACAUUAGCUUGUUGGUGAGGUAAAAGCUCACCAAGGCUUCGAUGUUUAACUGGUUUGAGAGGAUGACCAGUCACACUGGGACUGAGAUACGGCCCAGACUCCUACGGGAGGCAGCAGUAAGGAAUCUUCCACAAUGGGGCAACCCUGAUGGAGCAAUACCGCGUGCAGGAUGAAGCGUUUCGGCGUGUAAACUGCUUUUAUCACCGAAGAUUAUGACUGUAGGUGAAGAAUAAGGACCGGCUAACUACGUG